GACGAACGCUGGCGGCGUGCCUAACACAUGCAAGUCGUGCGAGAAAGUUCCUUCGGGAGCGAGUAAAGCGGCGCACGGGUGAGUAACACGUAGGUAACCUGCCCCCCAGUCUGGAACAACUAGAGGAAACUCUAGCUAAUGCCGGAUGAGACCACGAUCCCCUUCGGGGGUUGCGGGCCAAAGAUGGCCUCUACUUGUAAGCUAUCGCUGAGGGAUGGGCCUGCGGGCCAUUAGCUUGUUGGUGAGGUAACGGCUCACCAAGGCUGUGAUGGCUAGCUGGUCUGAGAGGAUGACCAGCCACACUGGGACUGAGACACGGCCCAGACUCCUACGGGAGGCAGCAGUGGGGAAUAUUGCGCAAUGGGCGAAAGCCUGACGCAGCGACGCCGCGU
rnacentral:rRNA from 1 species